AAGGGUUUUAAUCUGGGCUGUUAGUUCAAAAUAAAGGAGGAAAGAUCUACGGUUGAAAUGUCUCCUGGGCAAAACGACACAGCAUCAGGAAACUUAUCAAAGAAGCUAUCUAAAAAUGUCGUACAGCUCAUGCCUACCUAGGCAUCACACUUGGCAUAAUAAUAAUUACUUUUCUUGAAAAAAGAACCCGUGAAGUCAGAAGGUCAGCCCCCCUUACGAAAGAACUGACAUGAGGGGUAACUGUUGACAUCCAAACUCCGAUCUAAUAAAAACAGUUCUCUAACCCCACCUCAGUUAAAUGUGAGUUCGGUCCUUACUCUCAGAUCGGACAAUCCUGUCAUCUCAGAAAAACAUCAUGAUUACCCCCUGUCAUAUCACCCUAUCAAUCAAAUACACUUACCACAAGUGACAUCAUCACCAUCCGAAAUAACCAAUCUUAAGUCCUCAACCUCCAGCCCCUUGCAGGUCAUCAUUAGCUGGGGAAAACAUUGACACAUGGCUAUCGACCUCAUCGACCAAUCACAAGGAAUCCGACGACCCAAGUUUCGAGCUUGGUACUAUUGCUGAUUUGAUGUAAUGUCGACUGAAACUAUGUAUAAAUAGUUGAAUAGGACUAUUGUUACGUGUUUGCACACUUGGGCAAGCCAUCGAGGCCCACAUCCAACUCAUGCCGAACCACAUGGCACUCAAGUCAAGGUGAUUUGCAUAGCCUAGGCCCAUAUAUACCGAGGCCCAUCUAUCAUUUCCUCUUGAGGAGCUUCCGAAAUCCAUAUGCUGAGGCCCUUUGAAGGUGGACGAGGCCCUGUUGGUAGAAGCUUUGUUGGUGAGGUAGCGGCCUCCGAAUCACAAAGCAGCAUCUUUCAUAGACACUUCUCCCAAAAGAUCCUCUACACAAAGAUCAUACUUGAAUGGUUGAUAGGACGUUUAUCAUGAGUGUAAAUGUUAAGUCUUGUCACCAAUAGAGGCGGCUCUACCAAUCAAUAAAUAUAUAGCAGGCUAGAUACAGCUGAUGUCUACAAUUUGACAUGUAAAUUAACCGGAUGAGGCCACAUGUACCUUGAACCAAAGGUCACGAUCUAACUUGUGACAUUAUAAAUACUUUCCCAUGUACUUCAUACAAAGGCUAAUGCAAGAAUCAAUAUAAGAAACCAUACUUUACUCAACUCCCUCUUUCUUAUUAUCUUGAAACACAAAAGAGUUCAUACAUAUUUAGAUACACAUUUACAAACAUCGAUUGGUAAUUAUUGUAAAAUCGGUCUACGAACAUCCCGCUGGAUUCUAAACUCCGAGGCACACGCCACUUGUCUCCCUUUGACGAGGCUGAACGCCACUGGGAGAAGCCUCAACAUGGAUGAACCAUCCACCCUGUUGGGAAGCGUCGUCAUCUUGGAGGAGAGGUCAGCGUCCCAUCGCUGGGCUACCUCGCUUGAACUCCGAGGCUCACACAACUUGCCUUCCUUUGGCGAGGCUGAAAGUCAAGAGAAGAAGCAUCAACGAGGAUCGAACUUCUUUACCCAUUGAUUCACAAGGCUCAACCACUACAAGCUUUACGCAACUACCUUUUCAAUCAGACCUAGCAAUGUUCUCAGUUUAGCUGAAAGACGGUCCAGUCUUAGGAUCUAUUAAGGUUACAGUUAUUUAGCUUAAGUUCAAUUUACUUGCUUAAGUGAUUGAAGUUGGGAUAUCAAGUCAAGGUUAUUUAAUUCUUCAAUCAAUCUUAAGUUCAAUUACUUAACGAGGCCAAUGCACUUGGAAGAAGAACAACAUUGAACGAGAGAGAUUAUAUUGAUUUUCAAUCAGUUACGAAAGGAGGGUCUGAGGCCAGUACAUCGAAAUUAACUAAAAAGUAAACUAUCCUAAUCCUCGGAUGAUGGUGGAGGACCUCUGCAGCCUGAGCAUUAGAACUCCCUUCUUCUACUUUUUCGCUGCUUCAUCUCCAACCGUUUCAUUAGCUGGAGUCUGAGGCACUUCAUCCACAAACUCUGACCUCAGCUGUGAUAGGUCUUAAUUUGGGUAGAGUUCCUCAGCCCUCUCCAUCAUUUCGGUAUAAGCAUAAUUUCUCCAGUAGAUGCUAAAGCCCUUGUACUCCUCAGUGUUGUGGAAAUUGGCAAUGUAGUCUUUGGCUGUCUCCUUCCUCACCAUAAUGGCCUCCUCCUUUGCCUUGGCCAAUUCAUCCACAUGCCACUUUAUUUGGCCCUCCAAGAACUUGUAGGCAUCUUAGGCCCCAGCCAGCUCCAGAUUGGCCUUCUCCAAGGCCUCAGUAGUCACCUUUUGAUGGUUAUUGGAGACCUCCACUUUCUUGGUAAGGGAAGCUACCUCGUACUGUGACUCAUAGACCUCCUUCUUCAAGGCCUCGAUCUGAGCCAAAGCAGACUCCAGCUUGGUCGUGUCUUAGAUUUUUUAGGUCAAGGUCUUUAGCUCCUCUGCGAGGGAGGUCACCUUCUUUUUUGAGGAUUGGGUCCUCAUCUAAAAAUCAGUAAGGGCCUUCCUGUACUCUAAUGCGAGGCCAAAGAUCCUCAAACUUUGGCUCACAAAGGCCGUUGUCAAGUCCACCGCGUCACGGAAAGAGGCGUGUAACUACCACCGAUCCAUACAGAAUUUAUAGAAGCUCUCAGUAGCGCUUCGAAUCUCGAUCGGUAGAGCCUCCACCAAUGUCAGGGCAAGGAAGUUCGAAAAUUUCCCUUGCACUCUUACGAGCCUCUGGUUGCCAGCUUCGUACUCUGCCUUCUCAGCCGCCCUUCUCGCAGCCUCUUCCUCAGCCUCGGCGCGCCGCACCAUUUCAAUCUUCACCGCUUUUGAGGCGGCCUCCAAGGGCUUCGGCUGAGGGGCUUUUUUUCCUUCAUGGGACACAGAGGUCCCGAACCUCCCAGAUGAGCUGAUGGCAUGCACCAGCUUCCUCUUUUUCUGCUCCUCGAGGACUUUUUCCUUUCCCCAAGGCUCUUUGGCCUUCUCUGGCCUCUGGAGGGUCCCCUCCUCAGCACCCCUGGAACUGCUAUCUUUGGAGAGGCGCUCCACCCUCCCCCGGACCUCCUUGGCGCCACUUGACCCCGGCUUCAGGGGCCUCGCCGUCACAUUAGAUGUGGCCUUAAGGAUAGAGGCCAUGUCUGGGGCUGGGUACUCCCUUUCUCUUGAACUUGUCUGCAAAGCAUGUCAGUACAUCAGCAUCGAAACAAAAAGUAAGAAAUGCUCAAGCAUACAAACCUCUUACCUUUGGAGGCCAUCAAUUCAAAGUCAAUGAAGUAGCGGCUUUGGUAGAUGAGGUGGUCAAAGUGUCGAAGUUUUAGAGGUCUCUUAUAAAUGUCCUCUAUCACUUCAAACUCCCUAUUGCUCAACUCAAACAUCGUACUACUAUCUGCACAGCAAGCCUCUACAGUUAGAAAAAGAAAAUUUUGAAUACAGAAUGUAAACUACUUAAGUUGAGAGACUCACGAGUUUCGUAAUAAUGGGUCGGUACUAUGCAAACCAAGGCUGUGUCCCCCUCCACUGCCUGCCACCUGCCCCUCACUCAGAACCACGAUUCUUUCCAUCCCUUGAUGGAAGAAAGCAGCCCCACCACAAAUGGUGCGUGAGCCCCCCAAGGAGUUAAGUAAUAUUACCCCUUGACUCCUUACCUAUCACCCUAGGCUGGAAUAGGGUCAUGAAAACGUGGAGAAGCAUGUCUUUCCC
rnacentral:lncRNA from 1 species